ensembl:snoRNA SNORA70 Small nucleolar RNA SNORA70
AGGCAACAAAAAGGGAAAUAAGAGUCGGUCGAUGGCGCCCCCUGUGCAGUGGCUGCAAACAGCAGCCUCCUGGGUAGUGUUUGCAGCCUGUUGCUUAUAUAGGCUGCCCUAAGGGACCCUGGAGACAGCC